UGCGGAGGAUCCGAGCGUUAUCCGGAUUUAUUGGGUUUAAAGGGAGCGUAGGUGGAUUGUUAAGUCAGUUGUGAAAGUUUGCGGCUCAACCGUAAAAUUGCAGUUGAAACUGGCAGUCUUGAGUACAGUAGAGGUGGGCGGAAUUCGUGGUGUAGCGGUGAAAUGCUUAGAUAUCACGAAGAACUCCGAUUGCGAAGGCAGCUCACUGGACUGCAACUGACACUGAGGCUCGAAAGUGUGGGUAUCAAACAGG
rnacentral:rRNA from 1 species